rnacentral:rRNA from 1 species
GAUGAACGCUGGCGGCGUGCUUAACACAUGCAAGUCGAACGGAAAGGCCCAAGUUUUCUUGGGGACUCGAGUGGCGAACGGGCGAGUAACAAGUGGGUGAUCUGCCCUGCACUUCGGGAUAAGCCAGGGAAACAGGGGCUAAUACCUGAUGGGACCACUCCUUGGCUGUUGUGGUGGAAAGUUAUCUCGGGGUGGGAUGAGCUUGCGGCCUAUCUGCGUGGUGGUGGGGUAAUGGCCUACCAAAGCGUCGAGGGGUAGCCGGCCUGAGAGGGCGUACAGCCACAUUGGAACUGAGAUAGAGCCCACACUCCUACAGGAGGCAGCAGUGGGGAAUAUUGCACAGGGGGCGCAAGCCUGAUGCAGCGAGGCCGCGUGGGGGAUGACGGCCUUCGGGUGGUAAAAUCCUUUCUCUAGUGACGAUGCGUAUUAGUGACGGUACCUGGAGAAGAAGCACCGGCUAACUACGUG